GACAGAGGAUGCAAGCGUUAUCCGGAAUGAUUGGGCGUAAAGCGUCUGUAGGUGGCUUUUCAAGUCCGCCGUCAAAUCCCAGGGCUCAACCCUGGACAGGCGGUGGAAACUGCCAAGCUAGAGUACGGUAGGGGCAGAGGGAAUUCCCGGUGUAGCGGUGAAAUGCGUAGAGAUCGGGAAGAACACCAACGGCGAAAGCACUCUGCUGGGCCGAAACUGACACUGAGAGACGAAAGCUAGGGGAGCAAAUGGG
rnacentral:rRNA from 1 species